rnacentral:rRNA from 1 species
CUUGGUCAUUUAGAGGAAGUAAAAGUCGUAACAAGGUUUUCCUUCCAGUUAAAGCUAUUAACUUAUUGAAGCCUGACGUGGGCGACUAUAAAUAUAACCAUGGAGUUYGGUCUUUAACGGACUGGACAACACCGCUGAAAUGCUGUGAUCAACUAUUGUUGUACCAGCAGCCCUCUUAUAGGGCCCACAGAUCAAGCCGCGGUGAUCCUACCUAGAGUAUUUAAGUAGGACUAUAAUAUGACCGGUCUCACCUGAGAUGGUUGAGAGAACACGUUCCGUAGGUGAACCUGCGGAAGGAUCAUUACCGAGUUAGGGUCUUAUAGGCCCGACCUCCAACCCUUUGUUUACUACACCAUGUUGCUUUGGCGGGCCCGCCUUUYGRGGCCGCCGGGGGUUUAYAAGCCCCUGGUCAGUGUCCGCCAGUAGCCUUAUUAAAUUCUUUUAUAAUUAUGUUGUCUGAGUAUAAAUAUAAAUCGUUAAAACUUUCAACAACGGAUCUCUUGGUUCUGGCAUCGAUGAAGAACGCAGCGAAAUGCGAUAAGUAAUGCGAAUUGCAGAAUUCAGUGAGUCAUCGAAUCUUUGAACGCAUAUUGCGCCCUUUGGYAUUCCGAAGGGCAUGCCUGUUCGAGCGUCAUUAUCAACCAUCAAGCCUGGCUUGUCGUUGGACCCUYUUUACCGCUGAAAUAUGUGGUAGGUCCGAAAGAUAAUGACGGCGUCGUGUUUGACCCUAGAUGCAACGAGCUUUUUAUAGCACGCAUUGAAGUGGUCGRCCGACCCGGUCUUUAACCAUCAUUUUCUAAGGUUGACCUCGGAUCAGGUAGGAAUACCCGCUGAACUUAAGCAUAUCAAUAAGCGGAGGA